rnacentral:lncRNA from 1 species
ACACAGGAUUCCCUGAACCCACUGACGCAGGAACAUUCCGCCGUGUCUUAUGAAGAAGGCAAACGAAAGAACGAAUUCAAGUACCUGGCGUUUGAGCCGUCUUCGAACACUGGCAUUUCUAGUACAACUACAAAACUCUUGGGUCCCUCCAGAUGAAUAAAAGCUGUCCUCAGAUCCUCACUUACUCCUGUAAUACAGUGAGCAUCACAAAGUAAAAUGAAGUCUGAGCAAGAUCCCUCUUGGUAAAUAGUCUGCUGCUGAGUGCCCCAUGGCACUUGGCCACCGUGACACCAAUUUCAGAAGGUUAGAUCUAAAUGGCGAAUGUUCUUAAAAUACCUUCCUAAUUGUCUGUUGACUUUAAAAAUCAUAUUUAACAGU